rnacentral:lncRNA from 1 species
AGUUCUAAUCUAAAUCGUGAAAAAUUAGACGAAUAUUUUUGUUGUUUGUCGAUAUUUACGUCUGGAAAGAAAUAUCCAUAAUAAAUGGUAGUCAAAAAGUAGAGUCAAAUAAAUGUAAAUUGAUCUCCCGUCUCCCACUUAAGUCAAGAUCACGGCUCAUUGCUAAUUACUAAGUGGCGAAGACUGUCUAGGAUGCAGGCAGAUUUCUCUCUCUCCAGAGCCUCUUCGAAGAAGCUGAGGGCUGAACGUGGGAUCUUUGAAGGAAGAGCAUGAAAUGAAGCUCGCUCCGCAGACCAAUUGCAUGCAACUGAGUCGACUCAUUUCUCCUUUUCGGUCUCUGCAUCCUCAGCACAGUUUCCUACGAAGUCGAGGCUCCCGCCCCUCCCCCGUUUCUCGCAACGAUCCAGGCUGAGUCGAAGACGAGGGAAAGGGGGCAAUGAAAUAUUUUGCCCAUUUGUUUUCCGUCGUCGAGGGAGAAGAUGGAAAGAGAAGGAAUGGAAAACGUCACGGUCUUUUGGGGCUGCCUUCUGAGGAGGAACUGUCACAAGCAAAACCUCAGCAAACUUGCAUGGAGACAGACUAGGUGGUGCACAUGAGCAGGGCUUCUGGCAAAACGCAGUGGCUCUCCUGCUGGAUGGAAUGCAGCCUGGAAAAGAAGGCAGUCCACAAACUGAUCUUGCAGAUUUAUGAAGUAAUUAUCAAGCCCUGAACUGCAGUCAANGACUGUAGUUUCCUUGUUCUUGCUAAAUUAAAUGACUGGUAAUGCU